UGGAGGAACAGGGAUCAUUUCAAAUGUUUCAAAAGAGAGGGGGGAAAAAGUAUUGUGGCCUUCUUCAAUUAUUUUCACUUUGGCCUUUGUGUGUUUAACCGGGAGACCACAUGGUAGUGAUGAGACUUUGAUUGCUGUUAAUUAGGUAAUGAAGAGCCUUCAGAGUAUUAAUCAGAUAUAUAAGGUUAAUGGGGACUAGUAUGGCCAGAACCUAUGGAGAGGAAAUGUUUGGCUGCUGGGAAAGUUCAGCUGGAGAGAGAAAGGUGGCUGUGGAACACAGAUUUAACAAGGUGGCCCUUCAGAAAUGAGAACCACAUGAAUUUAAAGAGGAAAUUCAAAUGCACAUCAAGGAUAGAGAAACAGGAUCUUACCUGGC
rnacentral:lncRNA from 12 species